CCUGAACAAUUUAACGUGGGACGAUCAGAAGUGAGGAAAGGACUUGGGAGGGUAUCAACUUUUAAAUAGGAUGGUUCAGAGGAGGCCUCAGUAAAAAGAACUUCCCCGAUGAAAACUAUGUCACAUUCUCUUGAAAUGACUUGAUCCCUUGACUUCUUUGACAUCAAAGUCUCCAAGGUUCUAACAGUGGUUUUAGGACAAUCCAGGUUCAUCAGCAGAAGGCUGGGACAGAAGUAAGGUCCCCUCAGGAAAAUGAUGCUACUUGACAAAGUCCUCUGGAGAAGAUGUGUGUGGGGAAAGUAGUGCAG
ensembl:lncRNA